UACCUGGAGGUGUCACCAGUGGAGGCUGGAGAACAGCAAGGAUGGCUGCCUGCUCCUUCCUCUGUGAGCUCCAUCCCAGAGGGGCACUGAUGUGAUGCCAGCAGGAACACUCCUGUAUAAGAUAAGAUCUAAGGCACGUGAGAUGAUAUGCUUUCUGUUUGAGUUUCUUGUUUAUGUUACGCAUACUGAUAAAAUCGUUGAUGCCAGUUGAUCUGAAGGUCCCAGCAAGGAGCCGGCUCAUGGAAGAAUGCAGUUUUCACAUCGUGAUGAUUUAAUCUUCCUUGACCUGACCAACUGACAACCCCAAUUCUCCAGACCCUCACCUGCCACAAUCCCCUUAAAAACCCUGGCCCAGAACCCCUCAAGCAGACAGAUUUGAAGCUUGAGGAUUCCUUUAUCUCUUUGCCCAAUGGCAUUGUGAUUAUUAAACUCUUUUUCUGCUGCAAA